rnacentral:lncRNA from 1 species
CAGAGCUGCCUCCUCAGUCAGCGCCCCACCCCUCAGAGCACCCUUGUUCUACUUGUCUCCUGUGAGCCCCAAGGGCGAGGGCCCAGGACGGGUCAGCACUGAACCCCGCGGCACUGUGGUUGGACAGGGAGAUCAACUGGCUGGCCACAGGAUGAAUCCAGCCACUGAAUCCCUCCUCACAACCCACUGAAGUGGCAGUAAACAGAUUUUUUUUUAAGGCACAAGGACAACAGAAGAGCCCACAUUUUAGAAUCUGAAGCCAACGUUCAAAUGGCAAUUCCCUUGGCAAGUUCAAGAGCAGGUUUCCGCCAGGUGCAGCGGUGCACACCCGUGAUCCCAGCUACUCCUCGGGAGGCUGAGGCGGGAGGAUCUUAAGUCUGGGCAGAGAGAGAGGGUUCCUAAGUGGUGUUAAAAUCACAGGUCACUGUUGGAGACCAAGCUCCUGCAGACCAGGCUACUCAUAAACAUUGCUGACAUUCCCAGUCACCAAGCUGAAACCACGCUGUCCCUCUCAUCCUCCAGUCAGAACUAGAGAGAACAGCCAGAUUUCUCAAAUAGCUCUGUCUCCUCUGGCAAGGUAACAAAGUUCUGUUUGAAUGGCUGCACACAAGGUGACCUGAAGUAACCUAGGCUGAGCAAUCACUGCCACCUUUUAAGGGAAGCCACCUGGAAAUGACCCAUCUGCCCUGCAGUCCAUCUCUGCCUCCUUUAAGCCGGCCCACGGAGCCAGCCUCCUUGGCUUAGGCCAUUGGAGCACUUGCUCAUUUUAGGAAAUGAACUGUAAUUCAGUUCUAGAACUGAAAAUAAAACCAAUCAAGCCCGGUGUAGUGGUGCAC